rnacentral:tRNA from 1 species
GCGCAGGUGACAGAGUGGUCAAUUGUACCUGACUGUAAAUCAGGCGCCCUAGCGGCUACGUAGGUUCAAAUCCUACCCUGCGCA